UUAGUACCUCAUAAGCGUUCUUGAUUGCGAAGGGUGGGUCUUCCUGAAGGGGAGGAUGACAUUCCACCUUACAGAGUCAAUAAAAUGGGCAAAAGGAACUAGUAUGCUCCAUUUUCACUGUGUGCUACAAGGGCGGUAGGUACUUUGGAAAUGACUCUUCAAUAUACAAAUCAUGACAAAUGGCAAUGUGACCACCUGUGAGUGAGAAGGUUCUAAUGGGACAUCAGAAGAGGCAUCUAAUGGUGCCACAAAAGUUGGUUCCAAAAACUGCAAGAAAAUUGUGUAGUCUUGAUGUGACAUAUCAAGUCUAAAUCAAGUACAGAAAGCCAUGUGUAAAAAAGGAAAGCCACAGUCAAGAAUCUAGUUGGUUUGUGUGCAUAAAAUCAAGGAAUGCAGAGUAAGGCAGUCUCUUACAUCAUCUUAGGUCACUGCUUGUUUCUUCGUUUCUUUGUAUGACAGAAACUAAGGAUUCCAAGACCCUAAAAGGUACUUGGGAAAAGUCUCAGAUAGCAUUAGUGGAUAGUUUUUUUUUCCUUCAAUGAAAUAACUUUUUUAAGACAAAAAAUAUAAAAAAUAAAACAUUCAAAUGCUUUGUAGUUUUGAGAAAAGAAGUAUAAAGAUGAAGCAUAAUAUGAAAAGUUGGAAUAAAGUUUAAAAGAAAAUAUUUGAAACCUUCUCAAUCUUAUUUGAAUCUGUGGACUUUUGGAUUUUUUUUUAAGUAAGUAAGACCUUUCAGAUAUCUCUUUAAUAUAGGUAAGAGCAACUUAAGAGAACUGCAAAAUGACAGAGAAAACACAAUACAUUUAGGAGUUCAGAAACUUUGGGCAUUUUUCUUAAGAAGCACAUGCAAAAGUGAAGGAAACUAGCAAGGACAGAUCUGAAGGAAAAAAAAAAAGAAGUGCCCUUUGUUCUGGAUAAUUUUGAAUCUAUCUAGGUCCUUUCUCAUCUUCCUGGGUAUGCCUGAAUACGAGUGUGAGGACAUGCACGUGGAGGCCAGAGGCCACCCUUCCUGUUAGGCCUCCUAUUCUCCCUUGUGUGAUACAGGUGUCUUGUUGUUUGUCAUUGCACAUGGUAUGCUAGCUGGCUAGUGAGCAGCUAUGGAUUCUCCUGUCUCCACCUCCUAUCUUGUCAUAGGAAUGCUGGAAUUACAUGUGUGGGAUACCACAGCACUGAACUUUAUUUGAAUACUGAGACUUGAAUUCUGGUCCUCAUACCUGCAUGGCAAAAAUAUGCACUAUUAUACAAUCUCGCUAGCCUAGAAUCUACCUAUUUAUUUAUUUAUUUAUUUAUUUAUUUAUUGGUUUCUUUUUGAGACAGGGUUUCUCUGUGUAGCCAUGGCUGUCCUGGAACUCACCCUGUAGACCAGGCUGGCCUCUAACUCAGAAAUCUGCCUGGCUCUGUCUCCCAAGUGCUGGGAUUAAAGGCAUGCCCCACCACUGCCUGGGUUGAAUCUACCGAUUUUUAAGUAUUUAAGAUGAAAUACUUUCAUUUAUUUUCUUCCCAAAAUCUCUAGUAACUAUCUUUCUGCCGAAACGCUUUGAGAAGCCAAAGUAUGAAAAUCCAGCUAAUAUUCUCACGAGCUCACAUACUUGGCAGUCCUCAGGGAGGCUGCAGAUGCUUCUAGAAUGUAAUUACAAUGGCAUCUCACAUUAAUGUUUCUGAAGCAAACUAUAUGCAGAGAAUCUAUGGGACUAGAGAGGUGGUUCUGCUGUAAAGGGUGUUUCAGAGUACACACAUUUGAUUCCCAGCACCUACAUCAGGUGGUAAACAACUACAUAACAACUCCAACGCCAGGGGCCAACAUCAUCUUCAGGCUCUGUAAGCACUAGGCAUAUACUUGGUGCCCAUAUAUACUCAGGCACACACAUAAAUAUAUAUACAUAUGUGUGUGUAUGUAUAUAUAUAUAUUUUUUCAGAAAAUUUCCAACAUAAUAUUUUAUUGAUUGUUUUGGAAUUUCACUUAAUGCACCCUAAACACACUCACUUUCCAGUUCUCCCUGGCCCAACUCCCACCCUUUGUGAGCCCCCUCCCCCACC
rnacentral:lncRNA from 1 species